rnacentral:rRNA from 1 species
GACGAACGCUGGCGGCAGGCUUAACACAUGCAAGUCGAGCGCCCCGCAAGGGGAGCGGCAGACGGGUGAGUAACGCGUGGGAACGUACCCUUUGCUACGGAAUAGCUCCGGGAAACUGGAAUUAAUACCGUAUGUGCCCUACGGGGGAAAGAUUUAUCGGCAAAGGAUCGGCCCGCGUUGGAUUAGCUAGUUGGUGGGGUAAUGGCCUACCAGGGCGACGAUCCAUAGCUGGUCUGAGAGGAUGAUCAGCCACAUUGGGACUGAGACACGGCCCAAACUCCUACGGGAGGCAGCAGUGGGGAAUAUUGGACAAUGGGCGCAAGCCUGAUCCAGCCAUGCCGCGUGAGUGAUGAAGGCCUUAGGGUUGUAAAGCUCUUUCGCCGACGAAGAUAAUGACGGUAGUCGGAGAAGAAGCCCCGGCUAACUUCGUGCCAGCAGCCGCGGUAACAC